UAACCCUGCAUAUAAAAUGGAAAAGUUUGAGGAGUGGGAGAGUUGAUCCUACUUUGUUUUCCGUUUUUAACAUCCAAAUAGAUCCAAGUGAUUGUGAAAGAAGAUGAAGAAACAGAAAGAUAUAGAAGGUAUGGGAAGAAACAAAAAAUGGUUUAUUGGUGCGGGCGGUCUCUGAAAAAAUUAAGAAUUUACGUCCUUCCUGGGUAACUUGGAUCUAGUGAUUGGGGAACGUGGCUAGUUCAAGUGCAUCUGCAGGUGCUGUGGCAUUCUAGUGUUCCACGGGUAACUUAGAUCACCAAAUUUGUGAAACCUAAUGAAAAACUUUCUUCCCAAAUUUUUAUUAUUUAGGGUUUUAGGUUCAGAUGGAGUAGCCGGAAAAGCCAACUUGGUCUUACUCAACUCAACAUCCAGCAGGAUUUGGUGUGGUAAUAGCUUUAUCACUGAAACUGGAUAUCAUCUGCAAAAACAGAAAAAAAUGGUUAGUGCCGUGGACAAGAACAAGCUCAUUUGGUCAGAAUGAGGUGGAAUUUCGUAACUAGGUUCAAGAAAGCUGGGUUGGAACCAUGUUUGAUUCAUGUCUGUCAUUAUUCACUAGCUUUGAAAUUGGGUUAAAUUCAAGGUACUUUCUGGCCGCGUUAUCAAGAGUGAAAGCUACUAUGAAGCCGAGCACACAAUUGCCUAUAAAAGCUUUCCCCGAUUCAAAUCUGAAGUGGUACGUCCCAAUCACAUAUCAAGAGUAUCACCAAGAAGCCAAGCACACAGUUGAUAGUUAAAACUUCCCUUGAUUCAAAGCUGAAAUGAUGGAAAAGACUAUCGAUAUUUAUGAACAAGAAAGGCCAUGGAAAAUGGUUUUGUCUCGGCGCCGGCAGUAUUCAAAAAUCGAUGGACUUGUUAGGCCACGUCAGUCAUUUUUCAUUUUGGCAAUGUAUCUGUAUUGUUGUGAAAUUACAGUUGCUAAUGAGCUAAACUAGGCGUGAUUACUUUGUUUUAGGAAUUCAAGAUGUGGAAGUUUAUGUACAAUACAUGUAGAAAAAUGGUUCAACAUUUUGUUAACCGCCACUCUUAACUUGAGGAUAAUGACAUUGAAAUUUCCACCAACUACAAAUUCAACAGAGUUUUGAUUUCUCAACUUAAAAAGCAACUUCUGGAUGGAUAUUUCACCUUAUGAAACAUUAGGUCUAUCCGUGCCCUUAUCCAUUUGGUAGAGGGUAAAUAUGACAAGAAAAAAUGUUGGUAGAGGGUAAACCCUAUUCUAGCAAAGCAAAAGUUUGAGAGACAGAGAGUGAUAGUUGAUACAAAUUGAUCUGAUUUCUCUUUAUGAAAUCAAAAUUGGGGCUAGGAUAUGAAAUGGGUAGGAUAGAUUUUUAAGUUAUUUGUAAAAGAAGAUGAAGAAAUGGAAGGUGUUGGAAGAAGAGUUGGUAAAUAAAUCCAAGUUGUUAUUGCUAAAGAUUCAAAAGACCAAAAAGAAGAAAAGGAAGAAGAUGAAACAAAAUGGUUUAUUAUGUAUUCGUUUUGGUACGAGCGGACUCGGGAAAGUUAACACUCUGGAUCGGUUGAAUUGUUCAUCAAUUGAAUCAUUAACAGGUCCUGUAGUAUCAGCUGUGGUCAUAAGAGCAGAUUUAAUAGCCGAGGAAGACCAGUCAGGAUGGAAUGUUUUUACAUAUGCUGCAGCACCUGUUGCAUGAGGGCACGCCUUGGAUGUCCCUGAUAGUAUACUGUACGUCACUGAUCUAGUGUCACCAGGAAAGCCUGAAGGAUUAGCCACAGGUGAGAACGCAAGGCUUUCUGCCCAAUUUCUGAAGGUAUCAUACGCAUUUUUGAAGCAUACUGUCCUAGAUUACCCACAGAAUCUACAGCAUGUGAAUGGAUUGGGGAAGUGAACAAAACUCACAAUGGCACCUACCAUGAGGAAGGCUGGGAAAUAUUUGUGCGAGAAAAUGGCUUUAAAAAGUAUGAUUUCAUAGCUUUUAGGCUUGAUGGUGGGAUGCUGUUUCGUGUUAAGGUUUUCAAGGGGAAUGAGUGUCCAAGAAAAGAGUGUUUUGCUCUUUCUCCUUCUCCACUUACUGCACGAGAAAGAAAUGGACCUCGAGAAGAAUGUUCUACUCCCUUCUCCUCUGCUUGCACAAAAAGAGAGAGGUAGAAGGCCAUGUGAAAAUUCGACGAUUAGAAAGGGAGGCUCUGAUAAUCACGGUAAGAAUGAUUGGUUAAACUCACCUCAUAAUAAUACAAGAUUGAUUAUAUAUAUGGGUUUCGUAUACAUUAAUGACUUGGUCCAGAAACUUAUUUAUUGCUGCUAACGUCAAGAUUUUGGACCGUUUAGGUCAUGUGAUUGCCUAGAGGUCUUCUGAUGGUCAAAACAUACAAUUGUGGUUAAUUCAUGGAAUCUUAGUUUACUUUGCCCCCAUUAGCAGACAUGUUUCUGGGCCAAAAGAGCUAGAGUACAUUGAUUGGCAGCAGUCGGAAAAAACAGAUCAUUCUGAAGAUCUUGACACAUAAUGACUCGAUUAACCCCAGUUUGAGAAGAUGCAUCAAUAUUACAAGCAUUAGUGUCAAACCAAGACAAUAGACUUGUACUGAUGGCUAUAUUGAUUUAUGUCGCCUUCUGUUAUGGAUCAUGAUGCAAACAAUUCCAUGCUUACCUAGAAAUUCCACAACUACUGAUUCUAUCUUGGAUUACUUGCAAACGAAUCCCCAAUUUACGUUUACUGCAUAGUAACUUUGUAUUCGAAUGAACGACUACAUGUUCAUCAACAUUGUAUGUUUCCUGCUAGCUACUGUAGUAUGUAUUACCUAGUAGUUGACAUAAGAUUCUGUUUUUUUCGAUUUUCAGCACAUUUUUGAAGCAUACUGUCCUAGAUUUCCCACAGAAUUUCCAGCAUUUGAAUGGCAGUUACAGGAUUUGAAUGCAAUACGAUGUAUUCCCCAAAUGCCAAUCGUGGCUAACAUAAAUGCAUAUUACAGGAUCAAGACUAUUUAUUGUUCCUUUAACAUUCUCUAAAACCAACAGCACUGCACAUUGAGUUGUCUCAACCCAAGUUGUUUAAGUCUUUUAAGUUAUUGCUUGGCUUGGUUUUGUUCAAGAUCUAUAAAAAUCAUGCGAGUUUCAGCAAUUUUGGCAACUGCUUCUUGAGAGUUGAGACAGGUCAAUUGAAUGGCAAAUGCUUCUUGAGACAAGUCAAUUGAAUGGAGUUACUAUUAGUUAACAGUUAAUGGUAAGUUUCUUUGCUCCCAAUAAUUGUGGAUUUUAGGGUGCGGUUGAGAAAUCUUUGAAACACUGAAUUAUCUGGGAAUCUACAAAAAAAACUCAUCAAGAAAUUCUAAUGCUUUUGUUACAAGGAAAACCUCUCUCCUUGCGGCCUAUCCGGUGGUUACAACACAGAUUGUUUUGUUUGCCAGGUGAUUGAAUCAGAUUUAUGAUGUGAAAUGAUUGAACAGACUUGUGGUAGCAGAGGCUUGUUAGGCCUUGUCAGUUACUUUUCGUGUUAUCUCAUAUCCUCUAUCACAUAUAAACCAUUGACCAGUCCACAUACUGAGGACUGAAUUCUUUAGGAAAUAUUGGGAACCUGGCUUUCAAAACAGCUAUCCAUCCAUCUGAAAUGGGCAUGCGCACAACAUAAUUGAGUUUAUGGGAGUGAUAUCUUUUCUUUCGAGUUAUGCUUUACCCAACUUCUUUUUCCUGCAACAUUUGUCCUCGUAUUAUUGUUUUGAUAUCAAAAUGCAUCUCUAAAAGCUGUUCCAUGGUACAUUUUACUGCAAUUCAAAUGUACUACUCUUCAAAAGGAAACCAUAUGACUCAUAUCCACCUUAUUAUCAACCAGUGACUCAGUGUACAAGGACAAUGACAUUGAAGUUUCCACUAACUACAAUUUCAACAGAUACUUGAUUUCUCAAAUUCAUUUCUCAACUUGAAGCAACUUCUGGAUCAUUUCACCUUAUGAAACAGUGAGUCAUAGGUCUAUUGUGCCCUUAUCCAUUUGGUAGAGGGUAAAUACAACAAGAAAAAGUGUUUGGUCAGAUAUUUAAGCACAUUUUUAAUUUGGGGCAACUGAACCCUAUUCUUACACACAGAAAGCAAAAGCUUGAGAGAGAGAGAGAGAGAGAGAGAGAGUGAGUGAGUGAUAGUUGAUGCAAAUUGAUCUGUUUUCUCUUUAUGAAAUCAAAAUUGGGGGUAAGAUAUGAAAUGGGUAGGAUAGAUUUUUAAGUUAUUUGUAAAAGAAAAUGAAGAAAUUGAAGGUGUUGGUAAAUAAAUCCAAGUUGUUGUUUCUAAAGAUUCAGAAGACCAAAAAGAAGAGAAGGAAGAUGAAACAAAAUGGUUUAUCAUGUAUUCAUUUUGGUAUGGUCGGAAUCGGAAAAGCUAACACUCUUUGGUUGGCAGAGUUGUCUUAUCAGUUAGGAUUCUGUAAGGGAAGAGUAUUGGCUGGUGUUGUGCCAUAACAGGUCCUGUUUAUCAGGCUUGGAAGAACGGAAGGAACCGGCAGGCGGUGAUGUAUGAUUCACAUAAAGACUAUGGAAUAGGCUUUGGCCCAAUUUCUGAAGGCUACAUACACAUUUUUGAAGCACGCUGUCCUAGAUUACCCAAAGAAUCUCCAGCAUGUGAAUGGGCAGUUGUUCAGGGUCCUAAUGAAGCAUGUUUGAUUGUGGAAGUGAACAAAACUCAAAAUGGCACCUACCUUGAGGAAGGCUGGGAAAUAUUUGUGCAAGACAAUGGCUUUAAAAAGUAUGCUGUUUCGUGUUAAGGUUUCAAGGGAAUGGGUGUCCAAGAGAAGAGUGUUUUCCUCCUGUUCCUUCUCCACUUACUGCACAAGAAAGACAUGGACCACGAGAAGAAUGUUCUACUCCUGUACCUUCUCUUCUGCUUGCACAAGAAAAAAGAGAUGUGGAAGGCCAUGUGAAAAUUCGACUAUAAAAAAGUGAGGCUAUGAUAAUCACGCAGGAGCAGUCCCGAGUGUCUUUCAGUUCUCCCUUCCCUUCAAAUUUGGUAUGAGCGGACUCGGAAAAGCUAACAGGGCAAGUUAUCAAGGGAGAAUGCAAUGUUCACCAUCCCUGCCGACUAGGUUAUAGCGAAGCUGGUUCUUCUCCUGGUUCAGUAUGAAGGACAUUUGCAAAGACGGAGAAGUCGUCAAAAAGGUUCAAACUGAAGGGGGAGAAAUUUGAAAUUCCAAAGACCUAUACAAAGUUCUUGUCAAAUAUGAGGGUCAACUUCAUGACGGGAGUGUGGUUUCACAAUCUAAAGGACUAGAAUUGAAGGUUCUCUUGACGGUGAAGCCCCAAUAUGCAGAUGGAUUUGUAGAGAAAUGUUGGCCAGUUUCUGGUCAGGAGGUAGCUGUUCCACCAAAUGUGACUCUUCUCAUUACUCUCGAGUUGCUCUCCUGGAAGAUUGUGACAGACGUACCACAAGUUACAAGAGAGUCAUAAAGAAGAUUCUUAAAGAAGGAGAGGGAUACGAGAAAUAAAGAAGUGAAGUUAACUGGGAAGCGCCCCAAGAUGGAUCCAUAUUUUUGAAAAAGGGCCAUGAUGAGGAAGAGCUGUUCGAGUUCAAGACAGAUAACGGUACUGAUGAGAGUCAUUGUAUCUUCCUGCGCUGUACUGUGCUUGGUAUAGAGAUGGCCAACAAAUUUGCUUCUUUGAUCAGAUGAAGUAAUUGGUGGACUUGGUAGAGCUGUAAUGACUAUGAAAAAGUUCGAGGUGGCACCUGAGACUAUGGAACUCAAUUAUGCUUUUGGCUCUUCAGAGUCUCAGCAAGAGCUUGCUGUUGUUCCUCCUGGUUCAACCGUCUCUAUAAAGUUGAGCUUGUAUCUUUUGUUAAGAUUGGGUAUGGAAUCACGGAACAUGGACAAUGGCGAGAAGGCUGGGGCUCUGGCAGAAGAGAGAAGGUAAUACACUGUUUAAGGCGGGUAAACAAUAAAUAUGCAAGAUAUAUGAGAAGGCUGCAACAUUCAUCGAGUACGAUUCUCCCUUCGGUGAAGAGGAGAAGCAGCAGGCUACGACUCUUUAGGUCAGCUGCAACCUUAACAAUGCAGCCUGCAAGCUGAAAACUAAAAGCUACAAGCCUACAAGGAGGCUGGGAAGCUUUGCACACAGGUGCUGGAGAUUGAGAUCCAGAAUGUGAAGGCACUUUACGGAGCGGCCCAAGCUUAUAUCAAUCUGGUUGAUUUUGAUCUGGCUGAGCUUGAUAUUAAGAAGGCUCUUGAGAUUGACACUAACAAGAGACUGGGUUUAUGCAGGGAUGUCAAGAAGGAACACAAAGUACUGAAAGAGAAGUUCAGGGAGAAAACAAGAAUGAUGCCAAGAUGGAAUACAAGGUACCGCAAUCGUGCAAUUUUUUUUUGUCAAAAUUGAGAUUCAGUAGCAACUUACAUUUCCAAGUUCUUUGAUUUUGCUCUUUCUACAUAUGUAAUUAUGUACUGUUUUUCUUCUCUCUAUUACUCUUUUCAGUUGUUGGGCCUUGUCAGCUUGUUUUCAUUUCUGCAAUGCUUGAUUGCAAUGUAAAGUUUACAUACUAUGCAAGUUGGUCGGAAACUUUCACCA